AAUACUGGACAUCACAUUUCAACAUGAGCUUUGUAGGGGACACAAUGUCCAAAUCAUAUCACUUAUUCUGUCUCUCCCUUCCUUUCUUGGAGCUACCUGCCUGUCCUACCUUCCUUCUUCCAAACUUCCCUCCCCUUGUCAUCUUUCUUCCCAGCCCUCCUCAUUGUUUUUCUCUCUACCUUUCCAUUUUUUCUAGCUUUUUCUUCUCUUUCCAUUAUUCCUAUUUUCUUAUAGAAAGAUGCUCUCUUGCUUUUACUUUCCCCUUGUGUCUCCCCCACUUUGUCUUUUGUAACCACUCCAUUUUCUUUAUCUCCUUACUUCCUUGAAUGCGUUAGUUUUUCUUCCAUCCAACUGUUCUUUCACUUGUACAUCUAGUUUUAUAGCAAUUAGGGCCAUUUCUACAGCACUUCAAACUAAAUACAUGUUAAACUGGGCAUUUCUACUUCUGGAAGUGGCUAAUUUGGUUGUCCUAGACCAAACACCAGGAAAGGAAGCUUGGCUUGGGGAUGUUGGACCACUUGGCUGGGGCGGUGGUUCAGUUGCAUCUUAGUCUCAGAGAUGAAGGAGAGUCACGACUACUCACCGCCAGAGCAAGACACCCUCCAGCCAUAGUUCCAAUUCUACGAUGGCGUAGCAUAGUAGCCCUGUAGCUGCAGGGUGUGGAGCCUAGUGUUUGCUUUUUCUCUAGGGCGAGCACAGUUACGUGGACUCCAGAUUUUUGCUUCAGUGUCUUGAGGAUCUUGAUGCCAGUCUACGAAAAUUAAACUCCCGUCUGUUUGUGAUUCGUGGACAACCAGCAGAUGUGUUUCCCAGGCUUUUCAAGGAAUGGAACAUUACUAAACUUUCAAUUGAGUAUGAUUCUGAGCCCUUUGGAAAGGAACGAGAUGCAGCUAUUAAGAAACUAGCAACUGAAGCUGGAGUAGAAGUCAUUGUAAGAAUUUCACAUACAUUAUAUGACCUAGACAAGAUCAUAGAACUCAAUGGUGGACAACCACCUCUAACUUAUAAAAGAUUCCAGACUCUUAUCAGCAAAAUGGAACCACUAGAGAUACCAGUAGAGACAAUUACUUCAGAAGUGAUAGAAAAGUGCACAACUCCUCUGUCUGAUGACCAUGAUGAGAAAUAUGGAGUCCCUUCACUGGAAGAGCUAGGUUUCGAUACAGAUGGCUUAUCCUCUGCAGUGUGGCCAGGCGGAGAAACUGAAGCACUUACUCGUUUGGAAAGGCAUUUGGAAAGAAAAGCUUGGGUGGCAAAUUUUGAAAGACCUCGAAUGAAUGCGAAUUCUCUGCUUGCAAGCCCUACUGGACUUAGUCCUUAUCUCCGAUUUGGUUGUUUGUCAUGUCGACUGUUUUACUUCAAACUAACAGAUCUCUACAAAAAGGUAUUCUCUAAAAUUAGAGCUUACUGUUUAAUACUUUAAAAAAAACAUUCUGAUAAUACUUCUUUGCUUUUUAACCAUAGGUAAAGAAGAACAGUUCCCCUCCCCUUUCCCUUUAUGGGCAACUGUUAUGGCGUGAAUUUUUCUAUACAGCAGCAACAAAUAAUCCACGCUUUGAUAAAAUGGAAGGAAACCCUAUCUGUGUUCAGAUUCCUUGGGAUAAAAAUCCUGAGGCUUUAGCCAAAUGGGCAGAAGGCCGGACAGGCUUUCCAUGGAUUGAUGCCAUCAUGACACAGCUUCGUCAGGAGGGUUGGAUUCAUCAUCUAGCCAGGCAUGCAGUUGCUUGCUUCCUGACACGAGGGGACCUGUGGAUUAGUUGGGAAGAAGGAAUGAAGGUAUUUGAAGAAUUAUUGCUUGAUGCAGAUUGGAGCAUAAAUGCUGGAAGUUGGAUGUGGCUGUCUUGUAGUUCCUUUUUUCAACAGUUUUUUCACUGCUAUUGCCCUGUUGGUUUUGGUAGGAGAACAGAUCCCAAUGGAGACUAUAUCAGGCGUUAUUUGCCUGUCCUAAGAGGCUUCCCUGCAAAAUAUAUCUAUGAUCCCUGGAAUGCACCAGAAGGUAUCCAAAAGGUAGCCAAAUGUUUGAUAGGAGUUAAUUAUCCUAAACCAAUGGUGAACCAUGCUGAGGCAAGCCGUUUGAAUAUCGAAAGGAUGAAACAGAUCUAUCAGCAGCUUUCACGAUAUAGAGGACUAGAAAAUUUUUUUGUCCUUUAGGUCUUCUAGCAUCGGUACCUUCUAAUCCUAAUGGGAAUGGAGGCUUCAUGGGAUAUUCUGCAGAAAAUGUCCCAGGUUGUAGCAGCAGUGGAAGUUGCUCUCAAGGGAGUGGUAUUUUACACUAUGCUCAUGGCGACAGUCAGCAAACUCACCUGUUGAAGCAAGGUAAGAAUGAAGCAUUGGAGCAUACUGUUCUUUUUCCUUUUCCUAUCUUAAACAUACAUUUUUUAAAUGUGCAGGAAGAAGCUCCAUGGGCACUGGUCUCAGUGGUGGGAAACGUGCUAGUCAGGAAGAGGACACACAGAGUAUUGGUCCUAAAGUCCAGAGACAGAGCACUAAUUAGGUAAAUAUUUUAGAGCUUUGUUUCUUGCUUUAGAUGAGUAUAUAAUUAACGUAAAUUAAGAUAAUUUCAAAAAUGGAGCAAAUCUCUAUUUUCAGAGCAGAAAGUCUUGAGGCAUUAAUUUUUAAGCAAUUUUUACAAAAUCAGUUAAUUUUUGGUCAAGAGACAUGCAUCUGUACCAGAGAAAUUGUUGCACCAGUUUUAUAUUCAUCUGAACCAAUUCUCUUUAAAUUAGAGAUGUUUAUGAUUUUGUGGUCAAGUUUUUUCUUAGAAAAAGACAACUUUUUUAUUUCCUUUCUACGUAACUAUGAGUCUAAAACAGUUAAAGUGGCCUCUUUAUUUUAGUGACAUUAAUAUAAUCUUUUUAUGAACUUUCCCCCAAAUUUUUGCCUCUUAAAUGUUUAUAAAUUUCUUUUAUCUGUUGUGAUGCUUCUAAAAUCUAAAUUCUUUCCAAUUUGGGAAUAGGUUAAAAUUUUUUAAAAUGCUGGCCCUUAUUAGAAGUAUCAGAAAGCCUUUCCUGCAUUCAAUUUAAUUGGAUUUGGGAUGUCAUUUUGUAAUUUAAAUUAAUAUGAAAAGUAUUUAUACGUUGGAUUUGCCAGUUUUUAAAAAUUUUCUGUUUCUUCAAUUUCUAACACUGUUUACAUUUUUUAUUGCUUAGUUUUUUUAUGUCAACCUAAUUAGACUAUAAGUAUCUUGAAGAUAAGGUCAAUAAACACUCAUCACAUUUUUGUCAUUGAAUUAUUUGCAAUCAAGCUUUACCUAGUUUUUUUUUCCCCUUAAAUCACAGAAAACAUUCAGGAGGAAUACUGUUGCAGCUGAAAUUGGUGGGGAGUUCAAUACUUUUCAAUUAAGUUAUUUAAAAAUAUUCUUCAUUGAUGGAAAGCAGUUACAUAUUGAAAUAUGUUGUUUCUAAUGACAUUUCUGUGGUUUUUAACUUUUUAAUGAAUUUCACAGAGGACAAUUGGUAAUUUGUAUAUAAAGAACUUGGCAAGAGAAUUUGCUUAAUGUAAAUAUAAACAGUCACAAUUAGUAUAGACCCAUCGAUAUAUUUUUGAUAAUUUUUCAUGUAUGGUAAAGUUAAAAUGACAAAUUGAUAUUCUGAUAUAAAACUCAAAGUUUUGAAGUCAGUGGGAAAAAAGGAGGUUUUUAGACUUUCUUAAAAGACUUUGUUAAAAUUUUAGGACAGAAUUUUCUUGACGUUGUUUGAUCUAACUUUGCACUCUUUGAUAAUAAUGUUUUAGAUAAUGUGCAUAAUCCAAAUUGGUAUUGUAGCCUCUGUUAACACAGACAGUAUAUGUUUUAAACUUUGAUGUAAACCUUUUUAGACCUAAACUUGUUGAAGUAUCAUGUGUUAAGUUCUUUGUCUCUGUUUCUUUGUUCAUUUAUUACUAAAAUGACCUUGUUAUUAAAGUAUAUGCAAAUAUG
rnacentral:sRNA from 1 species